UUGCACGCUGGCGGCAGGCUUCACACAUGCAAGUCGAGCGGGGGAAGGUAGCUUGCUACCGGACCUAGCGGCGGACGGGUGAGUAAUGCUUAGGAAUCUGCCUAUUAGUGGGGGACAACAUCUCGAAAGGGAUGCUAAUACCGCAUACGUCCUACGGGAGAAAGCAGGGGAUCUUCGGACCUUGCGCUAAUAGAUGAGCCUAAGUCGGAUUAGCUAGUUGGUGGGGUAAAGGCCUACCAAGGCGACGAUCUGUAGCGGGUCUGAGAGGAUGAUCCGCCACACUGGGACUGAGACACGGCCCAGACUCCUACGGGAGGCAGCAGUGGGGAAUAUUGGACAAUGGGGGGAACCCUGAUCCAGCCAUGCCGCAUGUGUGAAGAAGGGCGUAUGGUUGUAAAGCACUUUAAGCGAGGAGGAGGCUACUUUAGUUAAUACCUAGAGAUAGUGGACGUUACUCGCAGAAUAAGCACCGGCUAACUCUGUG
rnacentral:rRNA from 1 species